UGUACAUACAUACCUAUGAUAAAGUUUAAUUUAUAAAUUAGGCAGGAUAAGAAAUUAACAUAACUAAUAACAAAAUAGAGCAAUUGUAACAACAUACUGUAAUAACAGUUACCAUAGAUCUUAGCAACCUCAGCAUAUGAUUUUUUUUUCUUAUUAAGUCGACAACUUCCACUUUUUCACUUAAAGGAAGCACUUAACAGCUUCUCUUCAGCAUAUCGAGAUUGCCAGCAUCACUGCUCUUGCACUUUGGGGCCAUUAUUAAGUGAAACAAGGGUUACUUGAACACAAGCACCUCGAUACCGUGGCAGUCCACCUGAUAACCAAGAGGGCUACUAAGGGACUAACGGGCGGGUAGCAUAUACAGCGUGGAUACACUGGACAAAGGGGUGUCCAGGGCAGGACAGGGCGGGAGGGCGCGAGAGUUCAUCAUGCUAUUCAGAAUGGUGUGCAAUUUAAAACUUAUGAAUUAUUUAUUUCUAGAAUUUUCCAUUUAAUAUUUUUGGAUCAUGGUUGAUCGUGGGUAACUGAAACCAUGGAAAGCAAAAUGCAGAUAAGGGGGGACUACUGUAUGGGAAAGUAAUAGGACAAUUAUAUUUAUGAUGAAAUGUUGAGCAUAUACUCCUAAUUCUCCCAUGGAACACGUGUGUGUGUGUGUGUGUUUAGAGAGAGAGAGAGACUUUAAUAACAGUGAAAUAUAAUAACCAAAUUCUGAUUAGCCUGUUACAACUUUUCAAAAUUCAUUCUCCUGUAUUGCCUCAUGACUGAUAAUAACUUGGGAAGCUGAGGGACUGCCAUUAUAGUCCCUGUUGCUUAGGAGGAAACUGAUAUUCAGAGGAUUAUAAUUUACUUCAUUGGUUAGGGGAGUACCGCAAUUAGAAUCGAAGUCUUCUAAACCAGUGCCUCUCAAAAUAUCUGUAGUGAAAGACCAGUUUCCCACUCAGCCCUAAUCUGUCACCAACCAUUAUUUCUUAAUAGCAUAAUAUAAAUGAACCACUAGAAAAAUAAACAAAAAAGGUAUACAAAACACAAAUCCAAAUUUUUUAUUACUAGAUUCAACAACCAUCAAAUGACUUUAACAAAUAGCUGUAAGAGUUCUGAAAUGAUUAUCCUCAAUGUGCUUAUCGUUUUGAAUGGGUAACAAAUAGCAAGUGGACCAGCUCCAGUCUUUGAAUCACACUUUGAAUAUUGUCUGUGUCAACCAUGUCAAUCAUGGAAUCAUCCUCAGCCAGAACAUUUGCCACCUAAGUGGCCAUGUUUACUCACAAGUGAAUUUCUGCCUUCCGCCAUUUACAGCUGAUUGGACUGGAACCAAAGGAUAGGUUGGCCAGCAAGCUGUGAACUGAGGCCAUGCUUGAAAAGAUGAGCUGGGCCCAUCAGUUUUUUUGUCUCUGGAUUUAGAUCUAAUGAGUGAAGAAAGGACUUUCUAUGAUAACCCAAGGUUUUGUGUAUGCUUAAAAUAUGAGUUAGCAGAAACUCUGAGUAGGCUGUGAGAGUUGGGUUGGGGCAGGGAAGAAAGAGGAAGAUGUGAAAUAGAGCUGAGUCAUAUUAAUAGUGCAUCACUACAGGUUCAAAAACUGCUGAUGCUGAGGCACGAAAAGCUGCCGUAACUCUAGAAUUACCUUUCACCUCCAAUAUGCCUUAGCCCCAGGCAUGAAGCAGCAUUUUCUUUGAAUGUCCUAAGAUAUGGAUCCCACACUUCUUGCAAUGUGCAUAUAUAUCUUAGCUGGCAUAAAUGGGUCUCUGAAUUAUUCAAGAAACUUAGCUUAUCUAAAAACAUAGUCCAAGGCUUUUCCCAUUAUAUCAAGUAAGCUUAUUUCAGAAACAAUAGAUGCCAUAUUUGAAGAUAAAUUGUUAGCAGUCACAUCUUUAAUUGACAAUCAGUCUGAAAUGAGUUUAUAAGCCAAACUGAGUUGGUCUGAUGGAACUAUCUGUUUGCUACCAAAUAUCCAUCUCCUAUCUACCUACAUAUCUACUUUUGUAUUUCUUUGUUGCCAGAAUACUUCCCCAAAAGAUUGAUUAUAAUAUUUUACAAAGCUAAUUAUAGUCUGAUUUUUCUCAAGGAGGGAAUCCCUUAAAAUUUAUGACAAAUUAUCUCGGUAAUGGAUGGGCCUCCACAACUCACCUGGCCUCUGUAUGUCCUCAGAUUUGCAGAGCUCGUUAGAACCAGAUCACUGUCUAAAAGAUCAGACAUGUGCUUUUAGUUUGUACUAAUCCAGACACAUAUCAUGUGUUAGUGGUUUCUGGAAUCACCCCAGAAAUCAAAGGUGCAGGCUUGAGAUUGAGUGCACAGUGAUUCUCAAAACAUGUUUUAUUGCCCCGAUGCUUUUUUUUAAAUGAACGUGUUAAGAUUAUUUUUAACUCUUUAGCUAUAUUAAAAUAGCAUACUUGCUUUAUAGUAAAGAAGUGUAUUUCAGCAUAAAAAUGGAAACAUAACUUCUUUUAUCAUUCUCCAGUACAUUCUAAAUUUUAAAUUACUGCUAAAUGAAAUGGUUUAUGUCAGAGGUUAACAAUAUGGGGUCUUAGAUUAAAACAAGCUCCAUGUAAUCUUAUUGAGCCAGUAGGUAACAGAAAUAAGAGAAAAUGUGUUUGAAUCACAGGAGAGAAGGGAUGUUGGAUGGAUCUGUGAAAUACUUUAUGUUGUAGUAUCAGCUGAUUGAUAGCAGCGAUUCUCAGAAGGGUUCCAAUAUUAUGCCUUUUAAAAGCUGGAGAUUAGUGCAACCAUGGUGAACAGCACAGCAACACUCUGGCAAAGAAAAAGGGCCAGGGCUGGCAAAAUGUGGCAGGUGUCAAAAUAAAAGGUUAGGCUCUGUGCCUGGGGACCCAUCUGUCAGAUAAAAGUAUGAUAAGGCAAUUAAUGUAUUUAUUUAUAUUGCUCAUGACAAACCAUGUAUUCCAUAAAAAUGGUCAAUUUAAACAUUUUCCAGUGUUCUCUAGAAAUUAGAAUUAAUAUAAAAAUAAAAUGUUCAAGACAAAAAGCGAGGUCUAAUAAUGAAAUGGAUUGCUUAUAUAAAUAAAUAAAGGUUGGAGGAAUUAUAGUAACCCACAUUGAAGGAUUAAAACUAUUACAUAUAACAUCUUGACAACACAGUGAUUAUAUUCAGGACCUAAAAUCGAUGUUUAUGUUGUAAGAUAAUUUUGGUAGCAUUCCUUGCAGGUUCCGCAUGCUUUAUAAUCAUUAGGCUGGAUUUCAUACUCUAAUAAAAUGAGGCCCAGAAAAAUUAUAGAAAUAGAAAUUUAGAAAUCCAAGAUAUGUGUCUUGCAUUUUCUUUAAAUGUUUUGUUCACAACCUUGUCAUUAUUAGAGCUUUCAUUUUCACUUCGUGACUAAUCCUGACUCCUCUUUAAUUUAUUUAUUAUUUAUUUAGCUUUCUCACUACUUCUGCUUUACAAUCUGUUUGGAGUAUGUUUAGAUUUACCAUUCAUCAGUGAUACGUUUUUUACAGAUAAAUUAUCAUAAAUUUUUUAAAUGCUGUGUUAUUUUACUGGUGAAUAACAAUCUAACCCAGUAUUAUAACAAAAAUGAGAUUUACUGGAGUCCCAAGUUUUAUGCAAAAACUGACCUAUAUUUACCCCUGAAUAAAAUAAAGUUAAAGCUCUCAAUUAUCAUGUUUUAAUAAGUGAAGCUCGCACCUUAUGGUAAUAGCAAAAUUUGAAGAGAAACAACAUGUAACUCUGUAGUAUAAUAUGCUAUGCAUAGGGAAAAUUCAAGUUAUUUAAUUGUAGGCAGAAAAAAUGCCAAUAUAACUAUGUUAUUGCCAAGCUGCACAUUCUGUCUGCUAAGUGAUGAAAUUUAACAAGUAAACCCAUUAGAAUAAUAAAGAGAAUCAUUUGGCUUUGGAAAGAACAGAGGUAUUAUGUUUAAUAGAUUUAUUUCCUUUAUGUUGAAGCAGCAUUUAUACCAUCCUCAGAACUCUCCAUUUAUUAGAAGGAUAUUGGUUAAACUUUGUCAAUGAUUUUUCUCCCCAAAAUUCCAUUCUAGCCCCUGAUAUUAUCACAGCAUUAAACUAUCUUCUAUUGGUCAUAUGAAACUUGGCUUUCUAUAGUAUAACAGCAAUGUUAGAGUAGGAGUUGAGGAAGGAAAAGUGAAUAAAAAGACACAAAGUAGAAAUGUUGUUAUAUGUCCCAUUUCGUAGUCUGAUACAUGAUUUACAAAUUAUGUUUGAAGUUUAAUUAUAAUUAACCACUAUUUAAAAUCAAAUUCGCUCAUUGCUUCAUUUCCUGACUCAGAGUUCAAUGCUGUUCCUAUUGCUGGUUUUAUUUCAUUUUAACCUCAAGUUUCUAAAUUAGCUCUGUUUCCUAUCGAUUUGUUUUCAUUUGCCGGAUGUACUUGAAAAUGCAUCAGGCCAAAAAAAAUUUUCCUUAUUUACCAUUUUGUACAACUCUUCAAAACUCUAGGACAUACUUCAUAAUAAAAAUAAUAAUUUCAACAGAAACUCAAGAUGUCAUUGAAUUUUGCCACGGAGCCACAAGAAUAAUACAUCAAAUAGAAGGUAAGAUUUUUGUUUUACUCCUUGACAGUGAGAAUUAUCCAUUUUAAGUUAGCUCUUUUGCAGCAUACAUUCUAUCUUUAUAUGGGAAGAAAAUAUACAAUGGGGCUCAUUUUAUAAAAAGAAAAAUCAACUUAAUUUUUACUUUCAUUUUUCUACAGAAGUAGAUGAGAAAAAUUUUGCUGGGUAUCCACCCACUUCAAUUCAGUCACUUGAAGAAAUUAUAAAAAUUCUGAUGAGUUUUAAAACUUUCGUUUGCUCUGGCAUAGUACAAACAUGCAUUGAUUUAUCAUCGCAGGUAUGUUUUCAUAAAUUUUCUCUUACCAAUCAGAUAAAAAUUCAUCCCAAUUUGCCAAAUUGUUCUCUUUAUAUUUUAAAAAAGCUUGACACAUAUAAGAUUAUUUCGGGGGAAAGAAACCCAGAUUUUCUCAUUUGUCAUUCAUUCAAUCCAUUGUAAUGGUAAAUGGUAUUCAUGAGCAUCUUAAUUAUGUUAACAAAAGAUGAAAACUUUUAGUAUAAAAUCUGUUGUGUGAAGAAAGUACUCAAGUACAAUUUUAUUUCAUGUUACAUAAAAAAUGCUAUCACUUUCUAAAGUUCUGUUGUUUCCAUAUCGUUGAGAUGUGUUCCCAUCAAACAUCAAAUGAUAUCUUUCAUCAGCAUAAAAUAAUCUGGAUGGAUCUCACCCAUCAAGGCAUCAUCCAUACCCCCAUCAUCUCAGACCCUCCAAAUUUGUUUCUCUUAUAGUUCCUGUUUUUCUUUUUUUUAAUUGAUCAACCACUCAUACAACACAAGGUAAGUAGUAUUAUUAUCUCCAUUUACAGAUAAGGAUUCUCGGGUACAGAGAGGUUAAAUACUUCUUAAAAUGUGAACCCCCUUUAUUUUAGUAAUUAGACUUUUAUCCAUCUACUUACUUGCUCAAACAAGGAAGGAAUGACAGAAUGUUGAAGAACUAAAAAGCAGAAGUGUGAAAGUUAUGCCAUAAGGGACAUGUGAUGCAAUUGUGGCCAUUGAGACACAGGACAACAUCUUCUAGGAAGAUUUUUGCAUACUCUUCAGACAAAAGGACGAGAUGCCUUUCAUCCAGCUUUUGAACAAUCUUGUGAGAAGCUACCUGAAGCUGCCAUAGCAUCUUAUAAGGCUGGGGAGAGUAACAGACAUGCUGAGGAUGGCAGAAAACAGAUUCUGAACCAACCCUGUACCAUUCUACCUCUAUAAAAGAAUUCUUGAUAUGUGACAUAAUAAAUUUUCCUUAAUGUCUAA